rnacentral:rRNA from 1 species
CCUACGGGAGGCAGCAGUGGGGAAUUUUGGACAAUGGGCGAAAGCCUGAUCCAGCCAUUCCGCGUGCAGGAUGAAGGCCCUCGGGUUGUAAACUGCUUUUGUACAGAACGAAAAGGUUUCUACUAAUACUAGGAGCUCAUGACGGUACUGUAAGAAUAAGCACCGGCUAACUACGUGCCAGCAGCCGCGGUAAUACGUAGGGUGCAAGCGUUAAUCGAAAUUACUGGGCGUAAAGCGUGCGCAGGCGGUUAUAUAAGUCAGAUGUGAAAUCCCCGGGCUCAACCUGGGAACUGCAUUUGAGACUGUAUAGCUAGAGUACGGUAGAGGGGGACGAAUUCCGCGUGUAGCAGUGAAAUGCGUAGAUAUGCGGAGGAACACCGAUGGCGAAGGCAAUCCCCUGGACCUGUACUGACGCUCAUGCACGAAAGCGUGGGGAGCAAACAGGAUUAGAUACCCUGGUAGUCCACGCCCUAAACGAUGUCAACUGGUUGUUGGGUCUUAACUGACUCAGUAACGAAGCUAACGCGUGAAGUUGACCGCUGGGGAGUCGGCCGCAAGGUUGAAACUUAAAGGGAAUUGACGGCNGNGAGNGCGAGGACGACGACGAGGAGGAGG